AAUACCUUUCUAAAACGAUGUCAUUUCAUAUUACAACAAAAUUUUCACCAUGUAAGCUUCUACCCCUUCUUCCAUCUUCUCAAUUGUCACUGAAUCCACAUGUUGAUUUAAAUUGAAAAGAUACCAGGUUGUACCCGUCAUACAAAGGAACUUGGACAUGAUCAAUGAAGUUAAUGACAAUGGCAAAGAAGAUGGACAUGAAUGAGUAAUAGAAAGACGCAUUUAGUUCGGCUGAAUUUCAAGACAUUAUUAGUUAACUAGCUCAACUUAACAAUGUAAUAAACACUUAUGUACUUCAAUUUUUUUAAUAUUAGAGAUGAUUCAUUACUUUUUGCCUA